AGAGUUUGAUCCUGGCUCAGAUUGAACGCUGGCGGAAUGCUUUACACAUGCAAGUCGAACGGUAGAGGGGGCAACCCCUUGAGAGUGGCGAACGGGUGAGUAAUGUAUCGGAACGUGCCCAGUCGUGGGGGAUAACGUAGUGAAAAUUACGCUAAUACCGCAUACAAUCUAUGGAUGAAAGCGGGGGAUCGCAAGACCUCGCGCGAUUGGAGCGGCCGAUAUCAGAUUAGGUAGUUGGUGGGGUAAAGGCUCACCAAGCCAACGAUCUGUAGCUGGUCUGAGAGGACGACCAGCCACACUGGAACUGAGACACGGUCCAGACUCCUACGGGAGGCAGCAGUGGGGAAUUUUGGACAAUGGACGCAAGUCUGAUCCAGCCAUUCCGCGUGCAGGACGAAGGCCUUCGGGUUGUAAACUGCUUUUGUACGGAACGAAAAAGCUCUUAUUAAUACUAGGAGUCCAUGACGGUACCGUAAGAAUAAGCACCGGCUAACUACGUGCCAGCAGCCGCGGUAAUACGUAGGGUGCAAGCGUUAAUCGGAAUUACUGGGCGUAAAGCGUGCGCAGGCGGUUAUAUAAGACAGAUGUGAAAUCCCCGAGCUUAACUUGGGAACUGCAUUUGUGACUGUAUAGCUAGAGUACGGCAGAGGGGGAUGGAAUUCCGCGUGUAGCAGUGAAAUGCGUAGAUAUGCGGAGGAACACCGAUGGCGAAGGCAAUCCCCUGGGCCUGUACUGACGCUCAUGCACGAAAGCGUGGGGAGCAAACAGGAUUAGAUACCCUGGUAGUCCACGCCCUAAACGAUGUCAACUGGUUGUUGGGUCUUCACUGACUCAGUAACGAAGCUAACGCG
rnacentral:rRNA from 1 species